UGGGGAAUUUUGCGCAAUGGGGGAAACCCUGACGCAGCAACGCCGCGUGGAUGAUGAAGACCCUUGGGUUGUAAAAUCCUUUCGGCAGGGACGAAACCCGAGCAAUCGGGCGGACGGUACCUGAAGAAGAAGCCCCGGCUAACUCCGUGCCAGCAGCCGCGGUAAUACGGGGGGGGCGAGCGUUGUUCGGAAUUAUUGGGCGUAAAGGGCGCGUAGGCGGUGCGGUAAGACUGGUGUGAAACCUCCAGGCUCAACUUGGAGCUGGCAUCAGUGACUGCCGUGCUAGAGUGUGGGAGAGGAGAGUGGAAUUCCCGGUGUAGCGGUGAAAUGCGUAGAUAUCGGGAGGAACAUCGGUGGCGAAGGCGGCUCUCUGGACCACAACUGACGCUGAGGCGCGAAAGCCAGGGGAGCAAACAGGAUUAGAUACCCCCGUAGUCC
rnacentral:rRNA from 1 species